rnacentral:piRNA from 1 species
UCCAGACGUCCCAGAGCGAUCCAGACA